rnacentral:rRNA from 1 species
CACCGCGGUUAUACGGGAGGCCCAAGUUGAUAGUUGCCGGCGUAAAGUGUGGACCGGGUAAGAAAAAACUAAAGUCGAACGUCUUCUCACGCUGUGAUACGCAUCUGAAGAUGGGAAGCACAACUACGAAAGUGACUUUAACAAACCUGCACCCACGAAAGCUAAGAAA